GAUGAACGCUGGCGGCGUGCCUAAUACAUGCAAGUCGAGCGAACAGACGAUGAGCUUGCUCCUCUGACGUUAGCGGCGGACGGGUGAGUAACACGUGGAUAACCUACCUAUAAGACUGGGAUAACUUCGGGAAACCGGAGCUAAUACCGGAUAAUAUAUUGAACCGCAUGGUUCAAUAGUGAAAGACGGUUUUGCUGUCACUUAUAGAUGGAUCCGCGCCGUAUUAGCUAGUUGGUAAGGUAACGGCUUACCAAGGCAACGAUGCGUAGCCGACCUGAGAGGGUGAUCGGCCACACUGGAACUGAGACACGGUCCAGACUCCUACGGGAGGCAGCAGUAGGGAAUCUUCCGCAAUGGGCGAAAGCCUGACGGAGCAACGCCGCGUGAGUGAUGAAGGUCUUCGGAUCGUAAAACUCUGUUAUGGGGGAAGAACAAAUGUGUAAGGAGCUAUGCACGUCUUGACGGUACCUAAUCAGAAAGCAACGGCUAACUACGUG
rnacentral:rRNA from 1 species